UACGAAGGGGGCUAGCGUUGCUCGGAAUCACUGGGCGUAAAGGGUGCGUAGGCGGGUCUUUUAAGUCAGGGGUGAAAUCCUGGAGCUCAACUCCAGAACUGCCUUUGAUACUGGCAAUCUUGAGUCCGGAAGAGGUGAGUGGAACUCCUAGUGUAGAGGUGGAAUUCGUAGAUAUUAGGAAGAACACCAGUGGCGAAGGCGGCUCACUGGUCCGGUACUGACGCUGAGGUGCGAAAGCGUGGGGAGCAAACAGGG
rnacentral:rRNA from 1 species